rnacentral:rRNA from 1 species
GUACCAUUAGCUAGUUGGAGAGGUAACAGCUCACCAAGGCGAUGAUGGGUAGCCGGCCUGAGAGGGUGAACGGCCACAAGGGGACUGAGACACGGCCCUUACUCCUACGGGAGGCAGCAGUGGGGAAUAUUGGACAAUGGACCAAGAGUCUGAUCCAGCAAUUCUGUGUGCACGAUGAAGUUUUUCGGAAUGUAAAGUGCUUUCAGUUGGGAAGAAAAAAAUGACGGUACCAACAGAAGAAGUGACGGCUAAAUACGUGCCAGCAGCCGCGGUAAUACGUAUGUCACAAGCGUUAUCCGGAUUUAUUGGGCGUAAAGCGCGUCUAGGUGGUUAUGUAAGUCUGAUGUGAAAAUGCAGGGCUCAACUCUGUAUUGCGUUGGAAACUGUGUAACUAGAGUACUGGAGAGGUAAGCGGAACUACAAGUGUAGAGGUGAAAUUCGUAGAUAUUUGUAGGAAUGCCGAUGGGGAAGCCAGCUUACUGGACAGAUACUGACGCUAAAGCGCGAAAGCGUGGGUAGCAAACAGGAUUAGAUACCCUGGU